ACAUGUGAUACAUUCUUUUUGUCAUUUAUCAUUUUUCUGCUUGAGUUCAUUCGAGAGCAUAGUGAUUGUCUCAUUUCACCCACAUAGUUGUUAUUGGGGCAGUAAGUACACUAUCUGAGAUACACCACAUGUUAUGAUAGGCAUCUGUAGAACCCUUAGAUUUUGAAGGGUGUGUUGUGGGGAGAACUGAUCAUUGUAACAA